rnacentral:lncRNA from 1 species
UGACAACCAAAUGAGGGCACUGUAAGAUCAUAACAAAUCCUAUUGGGUUAAUUAAUUUUAUCUGAUUAUACUGAUUAUGGUAACAAUCCACAAAUAUUGUGACUGAUGCCAAAAACAGGUGAUGCUCAGGCCUACAAUGAAUGGUGCUGAGAGGCAAGGUGCGGGAAAACGAAGCGGUAAUAACGUCCCCAGGGAGGGGACAGCCGUUGAAGGGCGAGGCCCUCGGGAACUGUCGCUCAUCCAGGAUACGAUCAGGUAGUGCAUUCCAGAGCUGAGGGGCCACAUGAGAGAAGGCCCUGUCACCCAUGCUGCACUGGUUUGUUGCUGGUGUAACCA